rnacentral:tRNA from 1 species
AUAACUGUGGCGCAACAGUAGCGCGUCCAACUCCAAAUGAGAAGGUCGCGUGUUCCAUUCACGUCUGUUAAU